AAGGCGAAUCCCGAAAAGCCUGUGACAGAGUAGGGA
rnacentral:ncRNA from 1 species